CUGAGGAAAAAAAAACUACACAUAGACCUACAAUAUAUACUCACCUAGCUUGUGAACAAGGAUGUCAAAAGUCUAUUAAUGCGAUGAGUUUGGAUUUGUUUUCCUUCAUUUUAGUUUUAAUAGGUGGUAUCCAAAAUAUUGGAGGAAAACAAAAGAGCACGGUAGGUACAUACUUUUUCUUGGCGGCGCCAAGAUAUUUGCAAAGUUAAAAUAUAUACACCUACCUUGUAAACAAGGAUGUGAAAUGCAUAUUGAUGUAAUGAGAUUGGCUUUAUUUUUCUCCAUAUUAGUUUUAGUCGGUGGAAUUGAGUAACGUGAUUAAUACAAAGUAUAGAUUAAACUAUAAUAUUAUUCUACCU
rnacentral:lncRNA from 1 species